CCUCCAUGAUCUGAGGGCAGAUGAGGUGGACGUGACAGUCGAUAGCGCCCGCAGUGACGAUCCGGCCGUUGCCCGCGAUGAUCUCCGUCGAGGGGCCGACGAUGAGGUCGGGAUGGACUCCGGUCAUGGUGUCCGGGUUGCCGGCCUUGCCGAUCGCCGCGAUACGGCCGUCGCGAAUCCCGAUGUCGGCCUUGAUGAUUCCCCAGUAAUCAAUGAUCACAGCGCCGGUGAUGACGGUGUCUGGCGCUCCGUCGGCUCUGGUCGCGCGGCCUUGGCCCAUCGACUCGCGCAG
rnacentral:sRNA from 1 species